rnacentral:rRNA from 1 species
GGCCAGACUCCUACGGGAGGCAGCAGUGAGGAAUAUUGGUCAAUGGGCGAGAGCCUGGACCAGCCAAGUCGCGUGAGGGAGUACUGCCCUAUGGGUUGUAAACCUCUUUUGUCGGGGAGCAAAAGCCGGACGUGUCCGGCUGUGAGAGUACCCGAAGAAAAAGCAUCGGCUAACUCCGUGCCAGCAGCCGCGGUAAUACGGAGGAUGCGAGCGUUAUCCGGAUUUAUUGGGUUUAAAGGGUGCGCAGGCGGAUUUUUAAGUCAGCGGUCAAAUGUCGGUGCUCAACACCGGCCUGCCGUUGAAACUGGUCUUCUUGAGUGAGCGAGAAGUAUGCGGAAUGCGUGGUGUAGCGGUGAAAUGCAUAGAUAUCACGCAGAACCCCGAUUGCGAAGGCAGCCUUCCGGCGCCCUACUGACGCUGAGGCACGAAAGUGCGGGGAUCGAACAGGAUUAGAUACCCGCGUAC